rnacentral:misc_RNA from 1 species
GAUGAAGAACGCAGCGAAAUGCGAUAAGUAGUGUGAAUUGCAGAAUUCAGUGAAUCAUCGAAUCUUUGAACGCACAUUGCGCCCUUUGGUAUUCCUUAGGGCAUGCCUGUUCGAGCGUCAUUUAAACCUUCAAGCUAAGCUUGGUGUUGGGUGACUGUCCGCUUCACGGCGGACUCGCCUCAAAAUUAUUGGCGGCCGGUACAUUGGCUUCGAGCGCAGCAGAAACGCGAACUCGGGCCCGUCGUAUUGGCUCCCAGAAGCUAUCUUCACAAUUUUGACCUCGGAUCAGGUAGGGAUACCCGCUGAACUUAAGCAUAUCAAUAACGGAGGA